rnacentral:lncRNA from 1 species
AUGUCGGGGGGCCCUCGGUGCCCGGCCAAGAGCGCGGCAGCAGCGGCGGCGGCGGCGGCGGCGGCGUCUUCCUCCUCCUCUUCCUCGUCGUCCUCCUCGUCGUCGUCCUCCUCGUCCCCCUCGGACACCGCCAUCUCCUCCUCCUCCUCCUCGUCCUCCCUCAGCGGGGACGCCAUGGCCGGAUCCCGGCUCGGCGAGGGACAAAUAUUUGUGUGGCCCCAGCCGGGGGGGGACCCGAAGCCGGAGAUUUUUCUGCAUAAAACAAAGAUGGCUGCGGUAAAUUAUUUCUUUUUUUUUUUUUUCUGCUUUUUUUUUUUCCUUCUCUUUCUCCUUAUUCUCCCCCCCCCCCCCUCACUCCCAUAAAAAUAUUUCGGGGGGGGAUUAAUCAGUACUCAUGCUCAGUGUGACAUCAGCAUAAAUUGUUAAAGGUUAACUAGUUCCAUACUCGUCACGUUUCCCUUUUCAUUUUUUAAAGCAUUUUUACCCUUCCCCCAAUUUUUUUUCGCCCAUUCCUCCCCCCUCCCUCGGUGAUUUUAAACACGCACUAAAAAAAAAAAAAAAAUUAAAAAGCAAAUUUUUUUUUUAUUUUUUUUGUUCUUUCUCCCUCCCUCCUCGACUUUGAAAUACUUGGGAAGGGAGUGGUUUGGUGGGUUGGGUUUGGGGUUGUUGGGUUUUUUUUUUCUUUUGGGUGUUUUUUUUUCUUUUUUCUUUUUUUGGAGUUUCUUUAAGGCUGCAACGGAGGAAGAACAAAAAAAAAAAAAAAAGGGGGGUAUAAGGAUUUAAAAAAAAAAGGUUGAGGAAGGGGUUGGAAAGAUGGAGGUGGGAUUAAAAAAGGUUGGGAAAGGGGGGAAAGAUUGAAAAGGAAUAAAAAAGAUUGAAAAGGGGGAAAAUGGAAACGGAAAAAGAUUAAAAAGGGGAAAAAUUGAAACGGGGAAAAAGGAUUGAAAAGGGGGAAAAGAUUGGAAAAGGAAAAAAGCUUGGAAAAGGAAAAAAAUGAAAGGAAUAAAAAAUAUUGGGAAAGGGGAAAGGAUUUUAAAAGAUGUAAAAAGAAAAAUGUUGAGAAAGGAACAAAUGGUUAGAAAAGAGAAAAGGUUGAAAAAAAAUUUUUUUUAAAACAUUGCAAAAGGGAAGAAGGUUGGAAAAGGAUGGGAAAGGGAAGAAAUUAUAAAAGGAAAAAGUUGAAAAAGGAAAAAAUACUCAAAAAGGGUGGAAGCAGAAAAAUAUUUAAAUGGAUGAAAGUUUUAAAAUGUUGAAAUUGAGAAAAAUGUUCAAAAAGGAACAAAAGUUACUAAAAAUAUUGAAAAAUGGAGAAAUAUUGAAAUGAAAAACAUUUAAGAACAAAAAAGGAUGGAAAGGGAAAAGCUAUUUUAAAAGGAAAAAAGUUUGAAAAAGGGGAAGAAUAAAAGAGAAAAAGGAUGAAAAGACAGAGAAAAUGAAAGAAAAUUUAAAAUGUAAAAAACUGAAAAAGAUUUAAAAUUUGAAAAAGGAAAAGAAGGAUCCAAAAAGGGGAAAAAUACUGAAAGAAAGGGAAAAGUAUUAAAGAGGAGAUAAAAUAGAAAAAAAGAUUCAAAAGAGGAACAAAUACUAAAAACUGGAAAAUACUUUAGAAAGGGGAAAAAAUAUUUUAAAAGUGGGCAAAAAUCAAAAAAGAAAAGAUUUGGAAAGAGUUAAAGAGAUGGGGAAAGAUUCCAAAAAGAGAAUAAAGUGUUAAAAAGGGGGGGGGAAGGGGGAAAUUAGGAAAAGGGGAGGAAAAAAACAGUGGAAAGAGAAGAAAAUUUGAAAAAAGGGGGAGAAAUUGAAAAAGGAGAUAGGAAAUAUUAAAAAGGGGAGAAAAAAAGGGUUUAAAGUUCCCCCAAAUCCUCCCCCCAAAAAAACCCAGAGGUGAAGUGGAUGAGUUUGUCCUCAGUGAUGGUUUUUAGGGGGUGAAGUUGCCCAAAAAGCUCCAAAGUCACACCAAAAUCUCCAGGCUGUGUCUGCCCCUGCCCCACCUCUGGAGUUUGCUGCCUUUUUUUCCUUCCCCUUCCUUUUCGGGGCCUUUUUACCCCAAAAAUGAUGGGAAAUGGGGUAAAAAACACUCCAAGUUUGGGGGUUUUACCCUAUUUGGGUUUUUUUUUACCCAAAAGCUGCUCCUGGUUGCUGUCAGCCAGCACAAGGAACACCCAAAAUCCACCCAAAACCUCGUGUGACACCACAAGGACCCAAAAAUCCUCACAAAUCUCCCCAAAUUCCACCCAAAACCUCGUGUGACAUCCCCAGAACUCCCAAAUCUCCCCAAAUUCCACCCAAACCCUUGUGUGACCCCACAAGAACCCCAAAUCCCCCCAAAAGAAACCCAAAUUCUCACAAAUUUCCCCCAAAUUUUCCUCCAAAACCUUGUGUGACACCCCCAGAACCCCCAAAUCCCCCCAAAUUCUCCCCAAAACUUCAUGUGACACCACAAGAAUCCCAAAUUCUCACUAAUUUCCCCCAAAUUCUCCACCCAAAACCUCAUGUGACACCCCAAGAACCCCCAAACCCCCCCAAAUUCCACCCAAACCCUCGUGUGACACCAGAAGAAUUCCAAAUUUUCACAAAUUUUCCCCAAAACCUCGUGUGACACCACAAGAACCCCAAAUUUUCACAAAUUCUCCCCAAAUUCUCCCCCAAAACCUCAUGUGACACUACGAGAGCUCCAAAUCCCCCCAAAACUUCAUGUGACACCACAAGAAUCCCAAAUUCUCACAAAUUUCCCCCAAAUUCUCUCCCAAAACCUCAUGUGAUGCCCCCAGAACCCCCAAAUCCCCCUAAAAUCCCCCCAAAACUUCAUGUGACACCCCAAGAACCCCAAAUUCUCACAAAUUCCCCCCAAAUUCUCCCCAAACCCUCGUGUGACACCCCCAAAUCCCAGAGGUGACGUCGUUUUUGGGGCGGUUGUGGCUUUUGUCACCCCGAGCCCUCCCCGGGGCCGUUUUUGGGCCGUUUUUGGGCCGUUUUUGGGCCGUUUUUGGGCCAUUUUUGGGCCGUUUCGCCCCUUUUUGCCCCUUUUGCCUCUGCCCGGUGGCUCUGCUGCCCCUCGCAGCCCUGAGGUGUCACCGGUGUCACUGUCACAC